rnacentral:tRNA from 1 species
AAAUAAGAAGUAAAAUUUACAUUUAGUUUCGACCUAAAAAUUUGAUAUUAAUAUAUCCUUAUUUA